GACAGAGGAGGCGAGCGUUAUCCGGAGUCAUUGGGCGUAAAGGGGACGUAGGCGGCUAGUCAAGUCUGAGGUUAAAGACCACAGCUUAACUGCGGGAAGGCCUUGGAAACUGACUGGCUAGACUAGGGCAGGGGUUGCGGGAAUUCCCGGUGUAGCGGUGAAAUGCGUAGAUAUCGGGAAGAACACCUGAGGCGAAAGCGCGCAACUGGGCCCUGACUAACGCUGAGGAACGAAAGCUAGGGGAGCGAAAGGG
rnacentral:rRNA from 1 species